rnacentral:rRNA from 1 species
UACGUAGGGCGCAAGCGUUAUCCGGAAUUAUUGGGCGUAAAGAGCUCGUAGGCGGUUUGUCGCGUCUGCCGUGAAAGUCCGGGGCUCAACUCCGGAUCUGCGGUGGGUACGGGCAGACUAGAGUGAUGUAGGGGAGACUGGAAUUCCUGGUGUAGCGGUGAAAUGCGCAGAUAUCAGGACGAACACCGAUGGCGAAGGCAGGUCUCUGGGCAUUAACUGACGCUGAGGAGCGAAAGCAUGGGGAGCGAACAGG